GAAAGCCUUAUGAUGGGAAACUACCACGUUAUGUUUGGAGAGAGAUGGGACCCUUAUAGUUUAGGGGGAGCAGAUGCAAGCUUUUUCUUUCCAUAGCCGGCCAAAUGACUACCGGAUCAUCGGUCUACUCUAC
rnacentral:ncRNA from 1 species